rnacentral:rRNA from 1 species
UGGGGAAUUUUGCACAAUGGGGGAAACCCUGAUGCAGCGACGCCGCGUGAUUUAGAAGGCCUUCGGGUUGUAAAAAUCUUUUCUAUGGGAAGAAAAUGACAGUACCAUAGGAAUAAGGACCGGCUAAUUACGUGCCAGCAGCCGCGGUAAUACGUAAGGUCCGAGCGUUGUCCGGAAUCAUUGGGCGUAAAGGGUACGUAGGCGGGUAAGCAAGUUAGAAGUGAAAUCCUAUAGCUCAACUAUUGUAAGCUUUUAAAACUGCUCAUCUUGAGGUAUGGAAGGGAAAGUGGAAUUCCUAGUGUAGCGGUGAAAUGCGCAGAUAUUAGGAGGAAUACCAGUGGCGAAGGCGACUUUCUGGCCAUAACCUGACGCUGAGGUACGAAAGCGUGGGUAGCAAACAGG